rnacentral:rRNA from 1 species
GGGGGAAUAUUGGGCAAUGGGGGAAACCCUGACCCAGCAACGCCGCGUGAAGGAAGAAGGCCUUCGGGUUGUAAACUUCUUUUAUGAGGGACGAAUAAUGACGGUACCUCUUGAAUAAGCCACGGCUAACUACGUGCCAGCAGCCGCGGUAAUACGUAGGUGGCAAGCGUUGUCCGGAUUUACUGGGUGUAAAGGGCGCGUAGGUGGGAAAACAAGUCAGAUGUGAAAUACCGGGGCUUAACUCCGGGGCUGCAUUUGAAACUGUUUUUCUUGAGUACUGGAGAGGCAGGCGGAAUUCCCAGUGUAGCGGUGAAAUGCGUAGAUAUUGGGAGGAACACCAGUGGCGAAGGCGGCCUGCUGGACAGCAACUGACACUGAGGCGCG